GAUGAACGCUAGCUACAGGCUUAACACAUGCAAGUCGAGGGGAAACGGCAUUGAGUGCUUGCACUCUUUGGACGUCGACCGGCGCACGGGUGAGUAACGCGUAUCCAACCUUCCCAUUACUGUGGGAUAACCUGCCGAAAGGCAGACUAAUACCGCAUAGUCUUCGAUGACGGCAUCAGAUUUGAAGUAAAGAUUUAUCGGUAAUGGAUGGGGAUGCGUCUGAUUAGCUUGUUGGCGGGGUAACGGCCCACCAAGGCGACGAUCAGUAGGGGUUCUGAGAGGAAGGUCCCCCACAUUGGAACUGAGACACGGUCCAAACACCUACGGGAGGCAGCAGUGAGGAAUAUUGGUCAAUGGACGGAAGUCUGAACCAGCCAAGUAGCGUGCAGGAUGACGGCCCUAUGGGUUGUAAACUGCUUUUGUAUGGGGAUAAAGUUAGGGACGUGUCCCUAUUUGCAGGUACCAUACGAAUAAGGACCGGCUAAUUCCGUG
rnacentral:rRNA from 1 species